rnacentral:rRNA from 1 species
UUGCCAGACUCCUACGGGAGGCAGCAGUCGGGAAUAUUGCGCAAUGGAGGAAACUCUGACGCAGUGACGCCGCGUAUAGGAAGAAGGUUUUCGGAUUGUAAACUAUUGUCAUUAGGGAAGAUAAAAGACUGUACCUAAGGAGGAAGCCCCGGCUAACUAUGUGCCAGCAGCCGCGGUAAUACAUAGGGGGCAAGCGUUGUCCGGAUUUACUGGGUGUAAAGGGCGUGUAGCCGGGCCGGCAAGUCAGAUGUGAAAUCCCAAGGCUCAACCUUGGAACUGCAUUUGAAACUGUUGGUCUUGAGUAUCGGAGAGGCAGGCGGAAUUCCUAGUGUAGCGGUGAAAUGCGUAGAUAUUAGGAGGAACACCAGUGGCGAAGGCGGCCUGCUGGACGACAACUGACGGUGAGGCGCGAAAGCGUGGGGAGCAAACAGGAUUAGAUACCCCCGUA